rnacentral:miRNA from 1 species
GGGAAGGCAAGAAGUCGGCAUAGCUGUUUGAAAAUGAUAUACGGCUGUGUCACUUCGAGCCAGCUCAAUCCACCGGCUUUCUGCAUAAAGAAGAUUUGCGGACGCUGCCGUAACGUGAAAAUUCGGAUCGCUCCCGUAGCGGCGCGACUCCGGCCGGGAGAGGGCGCAUUGACAGCUGUCACUGGGCACUAUUUCGCUUUCUUCGCGGCCGGACGUGGGAGGAAAUCGUUUAUUUUUAUCACACACGACGAUGUUCCCGUAGAGUGCGACCGGCUGUGUACGUGCGUGACGAAACGAUCGAAAACAAGACGACAAAAUGCCGAACGAGGAGGUGUUGGGUCCGCGGAAGACGAUGUUCGUACUAGUGAUUGUUGUGGGAUGUUUCGCGGUGCUGUGGCCCAGGAUUCUGUCGCCGCUGAUCUUGGGCCACUCGCGGGACCAGCUCAAACCGAACGCGUUCGACCGGGAGGCAGGAUGCUGCGAAGUGAUGUUCGAGACAGAACUGGCGGUAUUGGAACUGAUCAACGAGGUAUGUAGUUCAGCAGUCCACGUGGACGGAAAGCUCUCUCCAUACGCCGCGGCGGAGUGUCGCAAAGCCGUCAACGAGACCUGCGGAGUAGAUAUAGCGGCAUUCCUCAAACGAAAUGAGAACAUCGGCAAGACCUCCAAGAAACUAGUCGAGACUAUGAAGAACAGCAACUCCUCGUGCCUUAAGGAGCAUUUUGGCGUGCCCGUCUGGAGUCUCGCUCCUCACCAGGCGUUCAACUCAUGGACCCUACAAGACACUGUAAAACAAGAGCGUCCUCUGAACCGCGGCGCAGGGCCGCAUCCAGCACUGCGAGAGCGGGGCCGCGCGAUUCCUCAGGGCGUGGCCCCCGCGAGACCCGCGACACCGAUGCCGCCCCACGUUCGGGUACGAUCCUCCCCGCUAUCAGUGUACUAUGAGCUGGACAUCAAGCCACCACCGAUCCCGGGCAUGCGGCCCCCGCUCGGCUCGCCCGGGGGUCCGGUGCCCACGCCCAAGUCGUCCAUGGGGUUCGUCAUGCCGAUCUACACGAUAUGCAUCAUAGUGUUCUUCGUGUACACACUUAGCAAGAUCCUGUUCAAGCGCACCGCGUCCCCCUACGAGCCUGUUAGUCCCGACCCCCACUUCAGGAGCAGGGUGUUCCGCGACGACUCCAGGACGUCGCCCGACAAGCUCGGGGAUGUUGAACUGGAGGCGCUGCGAGCGCGGCUUGCGGAGACUGAGCGCGCCAUGCAAAGGAUCGUCGGCCAACUGGCUCAGCGCGACGCGGAGGCCCAGGAUGAGCAGGCUCGCCCGUACACGAACGGUACAAUACUUCACAACACCGGCCCGGUGCAUAUCGUCGCCAGCGAAUACCAGGAAGUAUCCAAGGAAAAGACUCCUGAACCUCAGAGGGAAGUGCCAGAACCUUCACCUGAAGUGAAGGAACCUGCCCCUGAACCUGAAAAGCCUCUGUCAAAAGAAUCUUUAGAGACGAAAGAGUCUGAGGAAUUAGAGGCUGAAAAACAAGAAGAAUUGGUUCAAGAAAUACCUGCAACACAAUCUGAAGAAGCAGAGACGGACGAUGUUAAAGAAGAGAAGGGUCCAGAAGAAAAUGACUUAAAACUCGUUGCUGACGAUGAAGUGGACGAAAAUGGUGGCGAAGCUAAAUUCGAUAAAGAAGAAUCGGGUUCAGAGCCAGAGUUAAUAGAAAUUAAUAAUAAAGAGGAUGAACUGAUUAAAUUAACAAACGAUGACGUAGAAAGCGAUGACUACGUCAAAGUGGUACAGGAUUUCUUGAACGAGGAAGCUAAAAUAGACGUGAAAGAAGAGAAACAAUCGACUCCGGAUCUCCUGGAAGUAGCUAUUAAAGAGGACUCGCCUGAUAAACCUGAGGAUGACCAAGAAAAUGCUAGUGUAAAGGUGGUAGGCAUGGAGGUGACGGCGCACACGGCGGACGGCGGCGCGCUGCCCCGCGCUCCCCCGCCGCCCGCGCCCGCGCCUGCGCCCCAGCGCCCGCACGAGGCGGAGGAAGUGAAGUCGAUAUUCCUGGAGACGGAGAUUCCGCAGAAGUCUCGGGUCCUCGUCGCGGACUUCGUCGAAGACAGGCCCGAAGACUCCGCGCCCAGUAACAAUUCCCCAAUGGUGGUGAGCGGUAAAAUGACUUUGUCACUCAUACAGGACGCACCGAGAGACACUCCUGAGAAGGAUCCAGAAUCAACAGUGGAUGAUUUCACAACAGCCAGUGCAAUCACUCAACCCGCCGCUGAUAAACAAGUUGAAGAAGAGUCCGACGAAGAAAUAGAGAUCGAAGAAGAAAUAGAAGUGGAAGAGAUCGAGGAAGAGGAAGAAGUUGAGGAGAUUGAGGAAGACGAAGAGAACGAACCGGUGGAGGCGAAGAAACCAGAAGCAAAGGAACCAGUCAAAGUGCAAGAAGUAAAGGAAGCUGUUAAAGUACAGGAAGAAGUAAAACAAGCAGAAGAAGAUUCCGAAGAGGAGGUAGAAGUAAAUGAAGAUGAGGAACCAAUACAAGAUUCGAAAUUUGAACCGGUUAAAGAACUAGAUGCCGAUAAAGAAGAAGAAUAUUCUGAGGAAGAAAUUGAGGAAAAUGAGGAACCAGUGAAAGAGUCAGUUAAGGUAAAGGAACCGGUGAAAUUAAAAGAGCCAGUUAAAGGAAAACCAUCUGUAGAACAUUCAGAAGAUGAUAAGGAACAGAAGAAAGCGAAAGGAGAUAAAGAAUGAACUGAUAGGAAUUAACUUGUAGUGAGAGAAUGUUUGGUGGUUCUGUAAAGAAAAAUAUUAAACAAGUAAAAUGGAUUCAAAUAAAAAUACCUACAUUAUUUGGCCCUUUAAAUGGAAUCCAAAGAAGGAAUUAGGAAGGCAUAAUUUUUGAGCACCACCGAAAAUUUUUCACGUUUGAAGAAAAAAUACAUCAGGCAAAAACAACAUUAGUAUAUUUCAUACGGAACCACUAAACAGUUAUUUUAUCUUUAAAUAUAAUUUUAAAAAUGUUUAUUUUUGCAAGUUAUAUUUUCGUAUGCUUUCGCUCGUCACGUUAUUUUUUUACAAUUAUAUUUUUACCUUCGAUUGUCGUUUAUUUAAGAUGUAUAUUUCGUGCAGAUGUCGCCGUUCGCUUGUAGUAUAAGAUUUUAAGUGUGUUUAUGGACGUGGCAGUUUCUGGGGCAUAAUUUAUCAAUAUAAAAAAAAGACACUAAAAUUUUAGGCCUUGACAAAUCUAGUCAUUUUAAAAUUACUAUACUAAAAAGAUUUACAAUUACUCAGGUUUGUCUAUAAUCUUCAAUGACAACAAAAAUUAGCAUUGUAUGUUCAUCGAUCGAAAAUAACCAAUCAAAAUAAGUAAUUAGUAUGCCAUCAUUUAAUUCCAAUUUUUUCUUACAGUGAUUUGAUAAUCUAUUAAUUUCGAUCGAGAGAAUGUAAGAUGAUGCCUCAGUAUGCCGUAAGAGUGUCCAUGAACAUGGAACUACGAAUUUAGCAUUGCUCUCAGUGUUCGAUAUUUUUGUGCCAAAUUUACUUCGAGCUUUUUAAUUUUGUCAUAGUUUUACAUUGACCCCACACAUUUUGUAUUACAUUGACACCCCAUUGGCAAGUUUCCGGUUUAAACUACGAUAUUUAAAGAACCGGAAUGAGGUAGCCAGAAAAAUUACUGGAUAUUAUGAGCUUCACAGUUAAUGCGUCAUGGUGAAGAACACAAUGCUUUACCAUGUACUUGUAAUUUAAAGUUUUGAAAGAUUGUUUUUCGAAAACGUUGCUCGUCUCAUACUGUUCAAUUACAUAUUUUUACUGCUUAAUAUAUAUAUUUCAAUGGGGUGAUAUAACUAACUAUGUAUCAAUGUAUCAUUUAUAGGUUAGCGGUGAUGGACACGGCAGAGAAAAAAUCGAUUAAAUAUUGAAACUAUGACUCAUGAUCAUUCGCAUAUGGUUUCUAGUUACGUAAGUGUAAUUUCAAGCGAAGCGAAUUUUUUUUAUGAUAAUUUUAACCUUAUAGGAGACAUAAUUAGAUGUGGUUUCCAUUAUCUUCGAUUAGUCUAAUUGCCGGCACUCCGUCAGCGCUGAACCUUUAAAUUCACAGUCGCUGCUGGUCAUGGUUGAUGACGUCAUUUGUUGUUUCUUAGGCUGUCUUGCCAAAAUAUUUGUGGAUUAGUAUAGACAAUUUUUUUACCCUUAGCAAAUCUAAUUUGUGGCAAAUCUUCCUUCCAAAUGUUUAGCCAAAUUUUUACAAUGUUUUCCUAUUAUACACUAAUGUAUGAAUUAUAGGUAAUAAUAUAAAUUAAUAUUGUAUGAUCGCUUGCAAAAAAUAUUGUAUUAUAAUUAACAUUUUUUUUUUGAUUCUGUUAUGUAAAAUUUGUUAGAAUAUAAGAACCAGUUAUGGACUUGCCGACGUAUAAUUAUCAAAAAAAAAAGGUUGGAUUGAUCCUACAAUUUUUUACAGCAAUUUUUCUUGCAAGCGAUUUUUUAUUAGUAUCAUGCCCCAACCUCUACAUGUGUUAAUGUAUUGGGUGUGUUAGAAUAGACGGUAAUUUUGCACUGGCGUGUAGUUUUUAUGCAUUUAAGUUUAUAUCUUUGUGAUUUGUUAAGAAAAACAUUAUUUAUUUUGUUAUAUUUUUUUGCGGAAUGAACCCUUUAUGUGCGGAAUUUUUCGUCAAUAUUUUAUCAUACCUCAUUGUAUGACGGUUAGGUCUAUGGGGUAACGUGAUACAUCGCAUAAUAAGGGUGAAAAUAUUUAUUUUUGAAUGUUAACUAAUUUAUAUUAUUGAUUGUAAAUUUUUGUUUACUGUGGAAAUGUUUUUAGACGUUUUAUAAUCGAGUGUAACUUAUUAAUACAUGGUAUUCAGCAUUCCUUGUCUUUCUGAAUGUGUAGUAGAUCCAGAUCAGAUUGUCUAUUUAAAUGUAAACAUACACAUUUCCGAUAUGUAUUGCUUGUUUUUAGUUGUAAUAAAAUAACAGU